GUUGUUUGGUCGCGGCUAACGGGGCGCACGAAAACAAAACCGAAUCGAAGCAGCGCAACGGAACGGAACGAGCGACGCGUCGCGCUUUCUCCAUUAAUGAAACAUCCGCAACAAUGACUCCGCGCGUAUGUGAGUGUGCCAGUGUGUGAGUGUGCACAUAUAGAUGAGGCGUAGGCACUUCCAGUUGUUGCACUAAACAUAAACAGCAGCAACAAUUCAAAUUUGACCACAGCAAAAACAACAACAAUAACAACAACGGCGAACGGAAGUCAACGGCAGCCGCAGCCAAGUUUAAGUGUUUGCCAAGAUUGCGAUUUGCGUGUGUGUCUGUGUAUGAGUGUGAGUGUAUGCGUGUGUGUUCGCGUGUGUUUUUUUGUGUAGCAUACGUCACGGGCGCCAUCAAGUCGCAACUUGCUAAGAGACGCUGCCUACGGCCAGGCAGCCGCCAAUAAAUAAAUAAAAAGAAGUUAAAGGCAAAAAUAUAUAAAAAGAAAUUUGAGCUAAAUACAAAAAGCCUGCCGAAAGUUUUCAAGUUUCAAGUGCGCUAGAUUCCAUGUGUUGUGCAAGCGAAAUACAGAACUAGCUAAAAAGCCGGGAUUCUUCUCCGAAACGGCAUGGGAGGCGCCAUCUGCUCGAGAAGCCAGCGUCGGAGGCGUUGAGCACGUGAGAGCCUUGAAAAAAUGUCCGCUUGCAUGACAAUUGUAGCGUGGAGGCAUUCAGACAACGCAGCAGACAGCAGCGCCGUUGAGCGCAGCGUACGUGAAGUGUGUGCCAAGAACUUGGGGCAAGCAGCAGAAUAUAAGCAGCCACAGAGAGAGCAACAACAACAACAACAAUAGCAACAGCAACAAGAACAACAGACGUGGCAAGGACGCUAAGCCACAUGCAGCGCACAGAGCAGGAGGCUUAGCACCUGCAGCAGCUCAACGCAGACAGAAGAGCAACGCACGGAAUAACUAAUUCGCUUCAGCUGGCAAUUUAAAACAGGAAAA